GAACCAAACGAGAGACUCCUAUUCGAGGGAGUUUCGACCCCCAUGUGUAUAUUGAUGCCAUAGGUGUGCCAAGGGGGGUGCCUAACGAAUUCAAAGCAAGAGAUGAAGUGGCUGCAGGAUUUGAAUCCCUAAUUCCAAUGAUAACUGCUAACAAAAAUGUCAAUUGGAUUAACUACAUUUACUAUAAUCAACAGCGUUUUGUCAACUACACUAGGGAUGCCCUACAAGGCCUGGCAGAGCAGUUACAAGCCACUACCCAGAUGACAUUCCAGAACAGAAUGGCCCUAGAUAUGAUAUUAGCUGAGAAAGGGGGUGUAUGUAAAAUCCUCCCUGAGACCAUGACAUGCUGCACAUACAUUCCAGACAACACUGGACCCAAUGGUAAGGUGACUAUGGCCAUAGAAAAGCUAGAUAGUCUUGCAGACGAGCUAAAGAAAAAUUCAGGAGUCACUGACACUUGGGACAGAUGGUUUGGAUGGAUGAAUGGUUGGCAAAAGACCCUCUUCCAGGUGGGGACAGCUGUUCUCAUAAUGAUCAUCAUUUUCUUAUUUCUGACCUGUUGCAUAUUCCCCUGCAUACAGAAGUAUCUACAGAAAGCGGUAGACAAGACUAUAGAUGACGUGACCCCUACUUUCAUACACCAAGACAUCACAGACCUCGAAGAUGACACCCCACAUACACCCCUACAAACACAUCAGUUCAAACAGAC